ACAAAGCAACUAUAUCAGAAUUUUCAUCAAGUGAUAAGAUUCGGAGAAUUUGAUUAGUGAAAUUUGAAAGACACUUACAGUCGUGGAAAAACAAGGAGAAAUAGAGAAAGGGAAAGCAAACAAUUUUGAGGUGUCAUUUUCUGCUCUUCGUAAGGACGUUGUCAACGUUUUGGAUUUCUUGGAGGGGUUAAAGAAUGAAGGAGGUCAAAAUACUGUCAACAAGGCCAAUCAAAUUGAAGAGCUGAAAUCGGUGCUGGCAUUUAUUUGUACGUACGUCAAGCUUUCUCAUUGUGAUUUGAAAUUUUUUGAAGAUGUAAUGAGUGAGGCAAGACAAGAGGUUGAGAAUCUGCUUUGACCAAUUUUGGAUGAUGUUGACAACAACGUCGGGUGUAAACACCACAUGGAUCAUGUCCUUCCUAGCCUCAUGGAUAAUAUCGAUGAUUGUAUCAUCUCAUGUUACCAUUCUACAUCAAGUGCCACCAUGACUGAUGAGCAGUUGGACUUCCUCCUCUUGAAUCUCCAUUAUCUAUCCAAGUACGCUGCUGAACAGAGUUUUCCAUUAGAGACUCCGUAUGAGAUUCUUCAGAAAGUGUCUGGCAACAUGAAAGAUUUCCAUGGGUUGAUAGUGAACGGUUGCGUUGAACACAAGAUUGUUCUAUAUGUCUCGCCUCAGUUUCAACUCAUGGAUGAGAGAGUUGGAAUCUUCUUUUGGAAUAGUUGAACUUAUGGAGAUUCUCGACUCUUCAAGCUAGCACAUCUACUCAUGAAGAUUAUUCCAAUUGAACUGGAGGUGAUGCAAAUAUGUUAUAAAAAUUUGAAAGCUUCACCAUUAGUAGAAGUUGGAUGCUUCAUUUAGCAUCUCCUGGAAAUCUCUCCAGACAUUCUUAGAGAGUAUCUGAUUCAUCUACAAGAGCACAUGGUAAAUGUCAUGUCAUGAUAGAGCUCCUUUUAAUUAUUCUCACAGAUAUGCCGAAGGACUUUAUUCAUCAUGACAAAUUAUUUGAUCUUUUGGCACGUGUUGGAGCACAUACCACGAAGGUAUCAACUCUUGUUCGUGAUUUAGAAGAAAAAUCAAGGAAUGAAGAGAGUACCGAUGAAACAAUUCGUGCGACUCGAGACUUGUUGAAAAAUAUUGAACUCUUCAAGGAAGAUCUCAAAAAUGAUUAUCUGAAAGCCCCAGACCCAUCUCAACGUUGCUUCCCCAUGAAUGAUGGACCGCUCUUCAUGCAUCUGCUACAGAUACACUUGAAUGAUCUGCUAGAUUCCAAUGCUUAUUCAAUUGUAUUGAUAAAGGAAGAAAUUGGGCUGGUGAAAGAAGACUUAGAAUUCAUAAGAUCUUUUUUCGCAAACAUUGAUCAAGAAUUUUGUAAAGAUCUUUGGGCACGUAUUUUAGAUGUGGAAUAUGAGGAAAAAGAUGUUAUUGAUU